UAGGAGAACAGAAUGAAACAAAACAAACCUCUCCGUAAUUAUUUUCUCACACAUUACGGAUCGGCCAUUAGUGUAGAGAAUUGAAUUGGAUUUUAGACUUCCGCAGAUGAGAUCCCUCGGCCUCACUCCGUCGAAGGAACACAGGCGUAAGUCUCGGCGAGGUCUGGCAUUGUUUUCCGAGAGAGAGAGAGCUUCAAUGGGGUACUACUGAGUCGAACUCGGAAUGGAACUCGGGAUUUGGAGUGAGUUGAAAAUAUGGAGAGAGGUUUCGGUCCAUUGAUCCAACUGCAAGGUACUUCGCAUCCGGGCCAAAUUUUACACACGUUGCUUUACCUAUGCCAGACAAAUUAGGGAAAGGUUUGAUACGAUUCCAUUCCGAUUUAACAUUGGCAACCUGAUUGUUGAUGUUAAGAAAAACAUAGAAGUCGUACAGGGUGCCGAUGUUUACCCUGCGUCUCAACAAAUGCUUAUUCAUCAAGGGAAAGUUCUCAAGGAUACGACUACUCUUGAAGAAAAUGCAGUUGCAGAGAACAGUUUUAUAGUCAUCAUGCUGACUAAGCUGUGUUUUUGAGACUGAGACAAAGGCAGCACCAAGCGGAGCCUCAAGUGCAUCAGGGGAGUCGUAUGCCAGGCCCAACCUGUUAGUGCGCCUACUCCAAUAUCAACAACACCGUCUACAACUUCUCAGAUUCCUGCCUCAGCUGCGGCACAGUGAGUGCUUUUUCCUUCCUUAAUUGAUAGUGUGACUAUUUACAUUUAAAAUCAGGUCCUUUUAAGGCAUUUGUACAUGAUAAGUUUAUAUAUACAAUUAUGGUAAUCUU